rnacentral:rRNA from 1 species
UAGCCGUAAACGAUACUCGCUAGGUGUCGGCCACGGUGCGACCGUUGUCGGUGCCGUAGGGAAGCCGUGAAGCGAGCCACCUGGGAAGUACGGCCGCAAGGCUGAAACUUAAAGGAAUUGGCGGGGGAGCACCACAACGGGUGGAGCUUGCGGUUUAAUUGGACUCAACGCCGGGAAGCUCACCGGAUAAGACAGCGGAAUGAUUGCCGGGCUGAAGACCUUGCUUGACAAGCUGAGAGGUGGUGCAUGGCGUGUGACUGU